AUAAAUCCUAUGAGCAAAAGUAAGUAGUUUGAUGCAAAAGGUCACAGAGAGUCAGCGGUAGGUGUGAGCUGAUACAUUUUCUUCAGAUGAAUGGAUUUGUGAGGAGCGGUGUGAAAGUUUUUACGAGUAUCACUCGCCGUGAUUCCUGCGUUAAAGGACAGGAUAUUGAUUUCUGCCAGUCAGAAUGCGUAUCUGUGAGCCGAUAAUUUAUUAUCGGGAAAUUGGGUGGCACCACGGUUCUAUCGUCCCAUAA
rnacentral:ncRNA from 1 species